rnacentral:rRNA from 1 species
UACGAAGGGUGCAAACGUUGCUCGGAAUUAUUGGGCGUAAAGCGCACGUAGGCGGCUUAGCAAGUCGGAAGUGAAAUCCCUCGGCUCAACCAAGGAAGUGCUUUCGAAACUGCUGAGCUUGAGUACUUAAGAGGAUCGCGGAAUUCCCGGUGUAGAGGUGAAAUUCGUAGAUAUCGGGAGGAACACCAGUGGCGAAGGCGGCGUCUGG